rnacentral:rRNA from 1 species
ACCUGCGGAAGGAUCAUUGUCGUGACCCUAACAAAAAUAGACUGUGAAUAUGUCAUCCAUGUCGCCAAGUGAUGGUCAUUGCACCGUCUCUUGGCAUAGGUCCUUCUCCUUUUAUUAGGUGAUGGUCCUCAAAAGAACCCACGGCGYCGGAUGGCGUCAAGGAACACUGAUGUUUGCUUGCUUGGGGCUAUGAUCGGCUUGCUGGACUAGCCCUAAGCUGUUAUGCUACCUGAAUCAAUAAGACUCUCGGCAACGGAUAUCUUGGCUCUUGCAUCGAUGAAGAACGUAGCAAAAUGCGAUACCUGGUGUGAAUUGCAGAAUCCCGUGAACCAUCGAGUUUUUGAACGCAAGUUGCGCCUGAGGCCUCUUGGUUGAGGGCACGUCUGCCUGGGCGUCACGCUAAAAUACACUCCUCUACCAAUCUGGUGUGGGAUGUGGCAUAUGGCCUUCCAUUCCACUUUAAAGGUGUGGUAGGCUAAAAUAAGUGGCUGCUGGCUAUGGUGCAAGUUGCAGCACUUGGUGGACGACACAUGUUGUUCUCGGAGUUGUGACUUGUACUACUUUCACAGGCAUUGCCCCAUAGACCCAUGGAUUGAGCAUGAAUUAUUUGCACCACGACCCCAGGUCAGUCGGGAUUACCCGCUGAAUUUAAGCAUAUCAAUAAG